rnacentral:rRNA from 1 species
UACGGAGGAUGCAAACGUUGCUCGGAAUUAUUGGGCGUAAAGCGCACGUAGGCGGCCGAUUAAGUCGGGUGUGAAAGCCCAGGGCUCAACCCUGGAAGUGCACUCGAAACUGGACGGCUUGAAUAUGGAAGAGGGUUGCGGAAUUCCCGGUGUAGAGGUGAAAUUCGCAGAUAUCAGGAGGAACACCGGUGGCGAAGGCGGCACACUGGUCCGGUUCUGACGCUGAGGCGCGAAAGCGUGGGGAGCAAACAGG